CUCAAUUUUUGUUACUAAGGUUGUAAUUGUAAAUUGAAAUGGAAGAGAGAAAGAAAAAAGAAGGGGAAAAGGCUAGUAGCAAGCUAGCAAGUACAAUGAAAGCGGGAAACAUCCUCGGAAAUGCUUGCAUUCCAUGGAAACCCACACUCCCACCGCACCUCCCUCCUCCCCUCUCCACCUUCCGUUGCUUCUCUGCCUUGCCUUCUUCCAGUUCACUGAAAACCAAAAUGAAGCCGAAGAGAGAUUGGGCUGCUGAUUGGAUAUCGAACAACGACGACACCGUUCGAGGCUUUCCCAUAUUUUUCGGAGGUGCUUCUCUCUUAGCCGUGCUCGUCAAUCGCACCGUUACAGGCAUAGCUCCCGUUGCUGAUGCCAGCAGUUCACAAUCGAGGGCUGAUUUGUUGACACUUGGAUUGGCUGUUACUAAUAUAUUAACUGGUCUGGUAUGGCUGACAAUUCGCCCUAAAUCUAUCUCUGUGGUAAAUCCUCUAGGCGUGGAAUGCCGGUUUAUAUUUUCCCACCUUCCUGAUUUUGUAGUUUCCGAGCUAUUAUGGGCAUGGGAGUCUCUGUCAGGUGUUACAUGCUGCAGGUCUCUAGUUGUUGUUUAUGAUUGCCGUUGUAUCCUACAAAUUGGGGUGGCAGCUGAAUCUGUCAAUAAUGAAGCACUGGCUGUUGAUGCAGCCAAGUUGAUGCAAGGAUCUCUUUACCAGGCUGCUAUAAAAUCUGCAUCUCAGAGCUAUUUGGCCAACCUUUCUCUCUACCCUGGGAGAUCUGAGUUGCCAUUUCUACCUUUGAACACACAGGCAGUGAUCUUGCAGCCGCUUGGAGACAAAGGAAUUGUAAUAAUUGGUGGUGACACAAUUAGGGGGUUCACAUCUUCCGAUCAGGCAUGGAUAACGCUUAUUGGAGAAAAACUGGAUGCUACUCUUGCAAAAUAUGUUACAAAUGAACGAUUGGCAGUGCAAGAUCGAGUCUGAAAAUAACUAUAUCGAACUGUGGAUUCCCAUGUGUAUAUAUAUAGCAUUUGCUGUGUCCAUUAUUUAAGAAUGUGGACGUUGACUACGUGUGCUGGUGUUGCUAGAGGGAAACUGAUGAUAGUUUAAGAACAUGUUUUACAAAGCACCAAGCAUCAAAAUCACGCCAUGUGGAGCUUAAAGAUGAAACAAUAAAAUUUUAAAAUAAGCGGAUCCAUUUACAAGUUCUCUGAUGUCUUGCACGCUUUUGUGAACCAGGAGACAAAAUGUCAUCAAACCAAAUCAUAGCGAGGCAGAACGAAGAUGGAGUGAAAACAGGAGGCAUUGUAUGGUGAGCCCACCUCGUGCCAAAUGUGUGGUUUUCUAGGGAUAGACACUUUGACUUUUGAGUUGUAAGAGCACAGGAAGCAUAAACAUUUUUCAAAUUUUCAUUAAUGAGUUUACAGAUUGAGCUGGUAACCUUAACAUUUGUACCUCUUAUGGUUCAUAGCAGCUUGAUCAUUAUUUCUUUUCUUUUCCUGUUUUCUGAAAAGCUGGCCGAUUACAUUCCUUGCCGAGCAAAUAGUCCGGUCUUUCUGUCUCCUGCUUCAUGAAUCUGCCAUGGUGCAAGUGCUUAUGUUUUUUAUUUGAUUCUGUGA